rnacentral:rRNA from 1 species
AUUGAACGCUGGCGGCAGGCCUAACACAUGCAAGUCGAGCGGAUGAAGGGAGCUUUCUCCUGGAUUCAGCGUCGGACGGGUGAGUAAUGCCUAGGAAUCUGCCUGGUAGUGGGGUAUAACGUCCGGAAACGGGCGCUAAUACCGCAUACGUCCUGAGGGAGAAAGUGGGGGAGCUUCGGACCGCACGCUAUCAGGUGAGCCUAGGUCGGAUUAGCUAGUUGGUGGGGUAAAGGCCUGCCAAGCCGAGGAUCCGUAACUGGUCUGAGAGGAUGAUCAGUCACCCUGGAACUGAGACACGGUCCAGACUCCUACGGGAGGCAGCAGUGGGGAAUAUUGGGCAAUGGGCGAAAGCAUGAUCCAACCAUGCCGAGUGUGUGACGAAGGUCUUCGGAUUGUAAAGCAGUUUAAGUUGGGAGGAAGGGCAGUCAGUUAAUACCUUGCUGUUUUGACGUUAACAACAGAAUAAGCACCGGCUAACUUCGUG